rnacentral:lncRNA from 1 species
CUGCCUCAGCCUCCCAAGUGUAGCUGGGACUACAGGCACACGCCACCAUGCCCAGCUAAUUUUUGUUUUUUUUAAUGUAGAGAUAAGAGUCUCACUAUGUUGCCCAGGUUGAUCUCAAACUCCUGGUCUCAAGAGAUCCUCCCACCUCAGCCUCCCAGAGUCAGAACCCAGAUCCUGGAACUCUUCUUUUCUUCUUCUAUACCACUGCUUCCUUGAUAAGAGAUCAAGAUAUAUACAAAUUAGUCUUUGAAAGAUCUUUCACCUUGUUCAAAGUUAAGAUCCUGUGAACACCAGAAUUGUUCCAUGGCCUCUUCACUAUUGAUUGCAACAGUAUCAUUUACCUGAAGUUACACAGUGACCACAAAAACCAUGUCCAGGACACCAAAUUUCUACUGCGAACUCUAGGUCCUCACGAGCCUUUCUCUGCGAGUCCAAAAUUCAGCCACAUUUCCUAAGAGGCACCUGUACUUGUCUAUUUCAAUGCAGCCAGAAGCUGACAACGGCCCAGGAACCAGGACUGCUUUCAGGAGGCGCUCAGAAGGGCAGCAAAGUACCCUCUCAACAUUAGUAAAAUGAAACAAAAGUGUCAGCCUUGGCUUCGCACACACUUACCCGUUCAUGGGGCAUGCUGGAGGCAGACGUUCUCUAUCAGGCAAGAGUUCUCAGUCAGAAUUAAGGUCUGCCAGGCAGAGGGCCACGUCUGGUUUACUUCUGUUUUCUCACUGUUGCUGGUCUUCCCCGAUUCCUGCCUCCCUCUCCAUGUUCCGGGAUGAGACUUUGACUGGUUUCUCAAGGGGCUAACUUUUGGUUCUCUUCUGGGCGUUUCUGCCCAGAGUCCCCUGGUUUGGACAGCAGCGAUCGUCUGUAGGACACACACAGUGAAUCCAGCCACCGGAUGAGGAAUU